UACGGAUGAUGCAAGCGUUAUCCGGAAUGAUUGGGCGUAAAGCGUCCGCAGGUGGCUGUGUAAGUCUGCUGUUAAAGAGUGAGGCUCAACCUCAUAAAGGCAGUGGAAACUACAUGGCUAGAGUGCGUUCGGGGCAGAGGGAAUUCCUGGUGUAGCGGUGAAAUGCGUAGAGAUCAGGAAGAACACCGGUGGCGAAAGCGCUCUGCUAGGCCGCAACUGACACUGAGGGACGAAAGCUAGGGGAGCGAAUGGG
rnacentral:rRNA from 1 species